UACGGGGGGGGCAAGCGUUGUUCGGAAUUACUGGGCGUAAAGGGCUCGUAGGCGGCCAACUAAGUCAUACGUGAAAUCCCUCGGCUUAACCGGGGAACUGCGUCUGAUACUGGAUGGCUUGAGUUCGGGAGAGGGAUGCGGAAUUCCAGGUGUAGCGGUGAAAUGCGUAGAUAUCAGGAGGAACACCUGUGGCGAAAGCGGCUCACUGGACCACAACUGACGCUGAGGCGCGAAAGCUAGGGGAGCAAACAGG
rnacentral:rRNA from 1 species